rnacentral:lncRNA from 1 species
AUCUGGUGCUCGGCCUGCUCUGGCUGUUCUCCCCAGACCACGCUGUGGGGGCCGGCGCCCGGCACGUGGUGACCUUCGAUGGUUGGCUGCGGGACCUCAGUGCCCACUGAGGCAGCCUCCUGCUGGCCAAGGGCUUUGCGCACAACGCAUUCUCUCUGAGGCUGAGCCAGGUGGGCUCAGGGCCCAGGGCCCUGCACGUGGAGCUGAACCACUCGACCCUCGUCCUCUAACCCAGCCUGCAGGUCCGUGAGAGGGUGUGAUGAGGGGACAGAGCCUCCCCCAGGGGUGGUACUUGGGGCUUGUCAUCAGCUUGAGGGCUGCAUGUUUGGCUCACUCCCUAGGGGUCCACAGGCCUACAGACUGUAUGACUGCUCCCUGGCUGGGGACAGCUGUCCGGACUUGGAUUUGUCCCCUGCCAAGAUGAGGCGGGAUGUGCCCAGGAUCGAGCUGACCGGUGAGGACGGCGUCUCAGCCUCCUGUGAUGUGCAAGCUGGCUUCUGUGGCCUGACCCUGGGCCUGUGGCACCAUGGUAGGUUUGGGUCCCACGGCAUCGGCCCUGCCUGAAGGGCCUCUUCCGCCUGGACCAUGGCCGGGCUCUGAGCAGACCCCAGGCCACAGUGGGGGCCACUGGCUCCUUGGGACCCACAGCCUAAGCAGCCAGGGGAGCACAGCCCAGAGGCUCAGAGUAGGGAGCAACCUCACUGGCUAGCCCCCUGCCAGGACAGUCCCUCCUCCGGGGGUGACGGCAACAGUGAAGGCCAUGACCCUGGCCUUAUGUUCAGCAUAACACAUCUGCUCUGCACUUCUUAGUCCUACAAGUUCCCAUCCCAUUUACAGAUGAUCUGGCAAAGGCCCAGGCUGCUCCAGAGUGAGGUCAGCUCUCACUGCCCUUUACUAGCUUGUGUCCAAGGACCACAUGAAUGCCACGAGAAGGGCAGGAAGGGACACAGAGGUGUACACAGACCCUUCCCUUCUCUCCUUCUUCCUCCCCUCAGGUUCGGCCCUCCAGUGUGGGGUGGGUGGGAUUAUGCCAUACCCAGGCUCCUCCCACACACACACAUCCUGCAGGAGCAGGGACACAGGUGCUCUCUACACAUCUGUCCUGCCCCGCAGGGGUCUCUCCUGGCCUGCUGGGCACUGACAAUGAGGCAGGUGACGAACUUAUGCUGCCAGGUACACUCUGGCCUGCAGUCUGGAGGGGCUGGCAGGUGGGGGGGCACUGCAGGGACCUGGAGAGGACACGGCAGGCAUGCCCAGGACAGCGCUCCACCUGCCAGGCCUUCUUCCAAGACAUCUACUCCAGCCUGGGGACCUGCUUCCGGGUGUCUGAGGUUUGUCUGAGCCAACAGCAAGCUGCCACAGAUUUCAGCGCCUUCACCUUCCACCUGGAUCCCGGCUGUGCAACAAGGUCAAGGCUCUUGGCUGGGACAGAGCAGUUGGCGGGAAAUGCAGAGGACCCUAAGCAGAACUGCAUGCAAUCUGGACACAGGAAAGGAGAGCUGAGGGCUCUGCCUGCCGCCCCCAGCCCCCGUGCUCCCCACUAG